UUAGGGGAGAGGGGUGAGCUAGAUGCCCAGUGAGUAGAACUAUAAAAAGAAUAUUUAAAACAUGCUAUCAUGAAAUGCGUCACUGCACAAUUAAAUCACACCACGGAUGGACUGAUUCAAAAAUCUCUCAACUCCAUGCCCGGCCCUAUUAUGGGCACCACAGGACUUCGUAUUGCCCGGCCCUAUUAUGGGCACCACAGGACUUCGUACUCGGAGUUAUUGCCCGGCCCUAUUAUGGGCACCACAGGUCUUCGUAUUGCCCGGCCCUAUUAUGGGCACCACAGGACUUCGUAUAUAGAAGGCUAAUGAAUCAUCCUAAUGUCCAUCCACUAUCAUCUAUCACAACAAUAUAAUGCGGCAUAGUCGUGAAUUCUAAUGCAAA
rnacentral:lncRNA from 1 species